rnacentral:rRNA from 1 species
GAUGAACGCUAGCUACAGGCUUAACACCUGCAAGUCGAGGGACCGGCGCACGGGUGUGUAACACGUAUCUAACGUGCCCUUUACUCGGGGAUAGCCUUUCGAAAGCAAGAUUAAUACCCGAUACCAGGGACGGGUAUGCGUUCAUUUAGGUUGUUGGUGACGUGACGGAUCACCAAGCCUCCGAUGGAUAGGGGUUCUGAGAGGAAGGUCGCCCACAUUGGAACUGAGACACGUUCCAAAUCUCUACGCGAGGCAGCAGAGAGGAAUAUUAGUCAAAGGGCGCUAGCCUGAACCUGCCAAGUAGCGUGAAGGAUGAAGGCUUCUGGGUGGUAAACUUAUUUUAUAUAAGAAUAUGUGUUAUAUAAAUAAGGAUCGGCUAACUCCGUGCAAGCAGCCGCGGUAAUUC